UUCAUUUCAAGUUAUUCUUAAUUAUGAUGGUUUGCGUAAAACUAGCAACAGCACCAAGCUAAGACAAUCAAUUCCAAGAAAAUGACAAUACGGAUGGAGAAGAGAUUCAGAUUACACAGAAAAGAAAAAGAAAACAAAGUGAACAAGACAAAACCAGACCUGAAUUGAAAAAGCAGAAGAAAGGCAAACAAGGAAAUACGAAGAACAUGACAACUAGACGCACCAUAUAUAGCCCAUAUGUAUAUGGCUAUAUAUGUCAAAAGAAACAGAUAUUGUAUUCUAUAAUACAGGAAUUUAUAGAAUUCAUUUUCUUUUUUGAGUUGAUUUGUUAUAUACAUGAGUUAUCAUAUUUGUUGUGGCUAUUUUACCUACCAGUUGAACAACAUAUGGUUUCAACAGCAACAG